GACGAACGCUGGCGGCGUGCUUAACACAUGCAAGUCGAACGGUGAAGCGCCUUCCUUUUUGGUGGGUGUGGAUGAGUGGCGAACGGGUGAGUAACACGUGAGUAACCUGCCCCCUUCUUCUGGAUAACCGCAUGAAAGUGUGGCUAAUACGGGAUAUUCUGGGUCUGUCGCAUGAUGGGUCUGGGAAAGAUAUUGUUUCGGUGGGGGAUGGGCUCGCGGCCUAUCAGCUUGUUGGUGGGGUGAUGGCCUACCAAGGCGGUGACGGGUAGCCGGCCUGAGAGGGUGGACGGUCACACUGGGACUGAGACACGGCCCAGACUCCUACGGGAGGCAGCAGUGAGGAAUAUGGCACAAUGGGCGCAAGCCUGAUGCAGCGACGCCGCGUGAGGGAUGGAGGCCUGCGGGUUGUGAACCUCUUUCGCCAGUGAAGCAGGCCUGCCUCGUUUGUGGGUGGGUUGACGGUAGCUGGAUAAGAAGCGCCGGCUAACUACGUG
rnacentral:rRNA from 1 species